AUCAAGCUGAUGAAUCCCAAAUAGGACGAAACACUCGUCAAACUGGAU
rfam:Schistosoma curassoni strain Dakar, Senegal genome assembly, scaffold: SCTD_scaffold0004280